UACGUAGGGUGCGAGCGUUGUCCGGAAUUAUUGGGCGUAAAGGGCUCGUAGGCGGUUUGUCGCGUCGGGAGUGAAAACUCAGGGCUUAACCCUGAGCCUGCUUCCGAUACGGGCAGACUAGAGGUAUGCAGGGGAGAACGGAAUUCCUGGUGUAGCGGUGAAAUGCGCAGAUAUCGGGAGGAACACCAGCGGCGAAGGCGGCACUCUGGGCUGGUACUGACGCUGAGGAGCGAAAGCGUGGGUAGCAAACAGG
rnacentral:rRNA from 1 species